rnacentral:rRNA from 1 species
UGGGGAAUUUUCCGCAAUGGGGGCAACCCUGACGGAGCAAUACCGCGUGAGGGAGGAGGGCCUUUGGGUUGUAAACCUCUUUUCUUAAGGAAGAAGCUCUGACGGUACUUAAGGAAUCAGCAUCGGCUAACUCCGUGCCAGCAGCCGCGGUAAUACGGAGGAUGCAAGCGUUAUCCGGAAUUAUUGGGCGUAAAGCGUCCGCAGGCGGCAUUAUAAGUCUGCUGUCAAAGACCGCAGCUCAACUGCGGAAAGGCAGUGGAAACUGUAAAGCUAGAGUACGUUCGGGGCAGAGGGAAUUCCUGGUGUAGCGGUGAAAUGCGUAGAUAUCAGGAAGAACACCGGUGGCGAAAGCGCUCUGCUAGGCCGUAACUGACACUGAGGGACGAAAGCUAAGGGAGCGAAUGGGAUUAGAUACCCGCGUAGUCC